AUUGAACGCUGGCGGCAGGCCUAACACAUGCAAGUCGAACGAGUGGCGGACGGGUGAGUAAUGUCUGGGAAACUGCCUGAUGGAGGGGGAUCACUACUGGAAACGGUAGCUAAUACCGCAUACCCUCAGAUGUGCCCAGAGGGGAUUAGCGAGUUGGUGGGGUAACGGCUCACCAAGUCGACGAUCCCUAGCUGGUCUGAGAGGAUGACCAGCAACACUGGAACGGAGACACGGUCCAGAAUCCUACGGGAGGCAGCAGUGGGGAAUAUGGCACAAUGGGCGCAAGCCUGAUGCAGACAUGCGGGGUGUAUGAAGAAGGCCUUCGGGGGGUAAAGUACUGUCAGCGGGGAGGCGUUACCCGCAGAAGAAGCACCGGCUAACUCCGUGCCAGCAGCCGCGGUAAUUC
rnacentral:rRNA from 1 species